rnacentral:rRNA from 1 species
GACGAACGCUGGCGGCGUGCCUAAUACAUGCAAGUUGAGCGCUUAAGGUUGGUACUUGUACCAACUGGAUGAGCAGCGAACGGGUGAGUAACGCGUGGGUAAUCUGCCUUUGAGCGGGGGACAACAUUUGGAUACGAAUGCUAAUACCGCAUAAAAACUUUAAACACAAGUUUUAAGUUUGAAAGAUGCAAUUGCAUCACUCAAAGAUGAUCCCGCGUUUUAUUAGCUAGUUUGUGAGGUAAAGGCUCCCCCAAGCGAUGAUACAUAGCCGGCCUGAGAGGGUGAUCGGCCAACUUGGGAAUGAGACACGGCCCAAAAUCCUACGGGAGGCAGCAGUAGGGAAUCUUCGGCAAUGGACGAAAGUCUAAACGAGCAACGCCGAGUGAGUGAAGAAGGUUUUCGGAUCGUAAAACUAUGUUGGUAGAGAAGAACGUUGGUGAGAGUGGAAAGCUCAUCAAGUGACGGUAACUAACCAGAAAGGGACGGCUAACUACGUG